rnacentral:rRNA from 1 species
UCCAGACUCCUACGGGAGGCAGCAGUGGGGGAUAUUGCACAAUGGGGGAAACCCUGAUGCAGCGACGCCGCGUGGGCGAAGAAGUAUUUCGGUAUGUAAAGCCCUCUCAGCAGGGAAGAAGAAAUGACGGUACCUGAGUAAGAAGCACCGGCUAAAUACGUGCCAGCAGCCGCGGUAAUACGUAGGGGGCAAGCGUUAUCCGGAUUUACUGGGUGUAAAGGGAGCGUAGACGGCAAUGCAAGCCAGAUGUGAAAGCCCGGGGCUCAACCCCGGGACUGCAUUUGGAACUGUGUAGCUGGAGUGUCGGAGAGGCAGGCGGAAUUCCUAGUGUAGCGGUGAAAUGCGUAGAUAUUAGGGGGAACACCAGUGGCGAAGGCGGCCUGCUGGACGAUGACUGACGUUGAGGCUCGAAAGCGUGGGGAGCAAGCAGGAUUAGAUACCCUCGUAUA